GUCUGCAACUCGACUACAUGAAGCCGGAAUCGCUAGUAAUCGCGGAUCAGAAUGCCGCGGUGAAUACGUUCCCGGGUCUUGUACACACCGCCCGUCACACCAUGGGAGCCGGAAAUGCCCGAAGUCAGUGACCCAACCAAUAAGGAGGGAGCUGCCGAAGGCAGGUCUGGUGACUGGGGUGAAGUCGUAACAAGGUAGC
rnacentral:rRNA from 1 species